rnacentral:rRNA from 1 species
GUGACGGCGUGCCUUUUGCAUAAUGAACCUACGAGUUACCAUCUCUGGCAAGGUUAAGAGUAAUGAUGCUCCCAGCCGCAGUGAAAGCGAGCCUGAACAGGGCGUUUGAGUCAGAGGGGGUAGACGCGAAACCAAGUGAUCUACACUUGACCAGGUUGAAGUUCCGGUAACACGGAAUGGAGGACCGCACCGAUAAGCGUUGAAAAGCUUCCGGAUGAGUUGAGUGUAGGAGUGAAAGGCCAAUCAAACUUGGAGAUAGCUCGUACUCCCCGAAAGGCAUUUAGGUGCCGCGUGUGGCGAUCUCCGUGAGAGGUAGAGCGACCGAUAGGUCAAGAGGGCUUCACCGCCUAUCGAGACCUGACGAACUCCGAAUGCUCACGGACUGCAGCCAUGCAGUAAGGGGGCGGGUGCUAAGGUCCGUCCCCGAGAGGAGAAGAAUCCAGACCGCCGUCUAAGGCCCCGAAAUUCUGUCUGAGUUAGUCUAACGAAGUCCGGUCCCCAUGACAGCUAGGAUGUUGGCUUGGAAGCAGCCAUUCAUUCAAAGAGUGCGUAACAGCUCACUAGUCGAGGGUCCGGGCAUGGAUAAUAAUCGGGUAUAAGUCAGAUGCCGAAGGCGCGGGAUAGCAAUGUAUAUUAAAAGUAUCGGUAGGGGAGCAUACCAUGUGCGCAGAAUGGUGAAGAUGACUGAUCCUGGAGCGCAUGGUAAAGCAAAUGUAGGUAUAAGUAACGACAAGAGGGGUAAGAUUCCCCUCCGCCGUAAGUCUAAGGUUUCCCGGGCAAUGCCAAUCAUCCCGGGGUAAGUCGGGUCCUAAGUCUCAGCCGAAUGGCGAAGGCGAUGGCAGAAACGGUCAACAUUCCGUUACUACCUUCAGGAGCGACGUGGAGACGGAGCAGUGACACUGCCGCGGGGCGACGGAAGUCCCCGUUGAAGAGCGUAGGCGUUGAUCGGAGCAGGCAAAUCCACUCCGAGAGCCGACCUUGACAGUACGGCCUCCCCUUCGGGGGAAGCUGACAGCGCAGGUAACCAUACUCCCGAGAAAAUCCGCUAAGCUUUAUCCUGUGGGUACCCGUACCGCAAUCCGACACAGGUAGACGGGUAGAACAUACUGAGGCGUUGAGAGAUUCAUGGUUAAGGAACUAGGCAAACUGACCCCGUAACUUCGGGAUAAGGGGUCCUCAUAGCAAUAUGAGGCGCAGAGAAUAGGUCCAGGCAACUGUUUAACAAAAACACAGGGCUGUGCAAACUCGAAAGAUGACGUAUACAGCCUGACACCUGCCCGGUGCCGGAAGGUUAAGAGGAGAGCUCAUCCCUUGAGGUGAAGGUUUGAAUUGAAGCCCCGGUAAACGGCGGCCGUAACUAUAACGGUCCUAAGGUAGCGAAAUUCCUUGUCGGGUAAGUUCCGACCUGCACGAAUGGUGUAAUGAUCCGGACGCUGUCUCAACCAUGAUCUCAGUGAAAUUGUAGUAUCGGUGAAGAUGCCGAUUACCCGCGAUGGGACGAAAAGACCCCGUGAACCUUUACUACAGCUUAGCAUUGA